GAUGAACGCUAGCGGCAGGCUUAAUACAUGCAAGUCGAGGGGCAUCAAGGUACACGAAAGUGUAUUGUUGGCGACCGGCGGACGGGUGAGUAAUAGGUAGGUAACCUACCUCAUACUGAGGCAUAGCUGGGAGAAAUUCCAGGUAAUUCCUCAUGAGGUUAUAUGACACAUGUGAUAUAAUCAAAGGUAUCGCAAGGUACUGGUAUAAGAUGGGCUUACUGACCAUUAGCUAGUUGGUGAGAUAAGAGCUCACCAAGGCGAAGAUGGUUAGGGGUUUUGAGAGAGAGAUCCCCCACAUUGGAACUGAGAUACGGUCCAGACUCCUACGGGAGGCAGCAGUAGGGAAUAUUGGGCAAUGGGCGGAAGCCUGACCCAGCCAUGCCGCGUGAAGGAAGACGGCCUUAUGGGUUGUAAACUUCUUUUGUACGGGAAAAACCUCUGGUCGUGAAUCAGAGCUGAUGGUACCGUAAGAAUAAGCAUCGGCUAACUCCGUG
rnacentral:rRNA from 1 species